rnacentral:rRNA from 1 species
UACGUGGGGGGCAAGCGUUGUUCGGAAUUACUGGGCGUAAAGGGCGCGUAGGCGGCCUGCUAAGUCACACGUGAAAUCCCUCGGCUCAACCGGGGAACUGCGUGUGAUACUGGCGGGCUUGAAUUCGGGAGAGGGAUGUGGAAUUCCAGGUGUAGCGGUGAAAUGCGUAGAUAUCUGGAGGAACACCGGUGGCGAAGGCGGCAUCCUGGACCGAGAUUGACGCUGAGGCGCGAAAGCUAGGGGAGCAAACGGG